rnacentral:rRNA from 1 species
UACAGAAGGGGUGAGUGUUAUUUGUCAUAAUUGGGCGUAAAAUGUAUGUAGGCGGCCACUAUAAAUUUCUUUUUAAAUCUUUAUGUCUAUAAAAAUGAUAAGUUUAGUUUAGUUGUAAUGAUUUUAUAGAGGUAACUUUCAAUUUUCACUAGUUCAAGGAUAAAAUUUGUAGAGACAGAAAGGAAAACCAAUUGCAAAGGCAUAGUUCCAAGUAAAAUUUUAGCUGAGAUACGAAAACAUGGGGAGCAAACAGG